GACGAACGCUGGCGGCGUGCUUAACACAUGCAAGUCGAACGGAAAGGCCCUGCUUUUGUGGGGUGCUCGAGUGGCGAACGGGUGAGUAACACGUGAGUAACCUGCCCUUGACUUUGGGAUAACUUCAGGAAACUGGGGCUAAUACCGGAUAGGAGCUCCUGCUGCAUGGUGGGGGUUGGAAAGUUUCGGCGGUUGGGGAUGGACUCGCGGCUUAUCAGCUUGUUGGUGGGGUAGUGGCUUACCAAGGCAUUGACGGGUAGCCGGCCUGAGAGGGUGGCCGGCCACAUUGGGACUGAGAUACGGACCAGACUCCUACGGGAGGCAGCAGUGGGGAAUAUUGCACAAUGGGCGGGAGCCUGAUGCAGCAACGCCGCGUGCGGGAUGACGGCCUUCGGGUUGUAAACCGCUUUCGCCUGUGACGAAGCGUGAGUGACGGUAAUGGGUAAAGAAGCACCGGCUAACUACGUG
rnacentral:rRNA from 1 species